GCCAAAUACAGUUUUAGUAAAUAUUUUUUUUGUAAAAAAAAGAGAUGAGACGAUGAAUAUUUUCGACA
rnacentral:tRNA from 1 species